GAUGAACGCUAGCUACAGGCUUAACACAUGCAAGUCGCGGGGCAGCAUGGGGGUUGCUUGCAAUCCCCGAUGGCGACCGGUGCACGGGUGAGUAACGCGUAUCCAACCUGCCCUUCACCACGGGAUAACCCGGCGAAAGUCGGACUAAUACCGUAUGUUGUCCAUUGACGGCAUCCGAUUUGGACGAAAGGCUUGGCGGUGAGGGAUGGGGAUGCGUCCGAUUAGCCAGACGGCGGGGUAACGGCCCACCGUGGCUACGAUCGGUAGGGGUUCUGAGAGGAAGGUCCCCCACACUGGAACUGAGACACGGUCCAGACUCCUACGGGAGGCAGCAGUGAGGAAUAUUGGUCAAUGGGCGUAAGCCUGAACCAGCCAAGUAGCGUGCAGGAUGACGGCCCUAUGGGUUGUAAACUGCUUUUAUGCGGGGAUAAAGUGGCCCACGGGUGGGCUUUUGCAGGUACCGCAUGAAUAAGGACCGGCUAAUUCCGUG
rnacentral:rRNA from 1 species